CAAUAUUAGUAUAUAAGUGCGUAGCACUUUCACGCAGUGCCAGGCAUCUUUUGUCCAGUACACGAAGUGUGUCAAAUAUUACGAUGUCUCCGUUCAAUAUCCUGGUGAUCGUCAUCAUUUCAGUUGCUAUUACCUCCAUAACGCACAGCACAGGAGCUGCGUCGUACCACGACAAUGCUAAAUGUCCUGUUCCUGGGCAGUAUUGCCUUACAGACGGAAAUCCCACUUUAAAGUGCCCUCCAAAUUGCGAGUGCGUCGUCAUGGUGGGCGAAGGAAUCAACUCUAAACAAGGAAAUUGCUCUGAUCCUAGGAGAAGGGGAUAAACUUUUUAUGCGGACAUGAAAUAAAGCAUUCUAAUAUCUA